rnacentral:rRNA from 1 species
UACGGAGGUUGCGAGCGUUGUUCGGAUUAACUGGGCGUAAAGGGGGCGCAGGCGGCCUGAUCUGUCUGGGGUGAAAGCCCGGGGCUCAACCUCGGAAUUGCCUUGGAUACUGUCAGGCUUGAGUGUGUGAGAGGAGAGUGGAAUUCCUGGUGUAGCGGUGAAAUGCGUAGAUAUCAGGAGGAACACCGGUGGCGAAAGCGGCUCUCUGGCACAUUACUGACGCUGAGGCCCGAAAGCGUGGGGAGCAAAC